GACGAACGCUGGCGGCGUGCUUAACACAUGCAAGUCGAACGGAAAGGCCCUGCUUGCAGGGUACUCGAGUGGCGAACGGGUGAGUAACACGUGGGUGAUCUGCCCUGCACUUCGGGAUAAGCCUGUGAAACUGGGUCUAAUACCGGAUAGGAGCCAUUUUUAGUGUGAUGGUUGGAAAGUUUUUUCGGUGUAGGAUGAGCUCGCGGCCUAUCAGCUUGUUGGUGGGGUAAUGGCCUACCAAGGCGGCGACGGGUAGCCGGCCUGAGAGGGUGGACGGCCACCCUGGGACUGAGAUACGGCACCGACUCCUAAGGGAGGUAGCAGUGGGGAAUAUUGCACAAUGGGCGCCAGCCUGAUGCAGCGACGCCGCGUGGCGGAUGACGGUCUUAGUGUUGUAAAAUCAUUUCGCUAGGGACGAAGCUUUUUGUGACGGUACCUAGACAAGAAGCACCGGCUAACUACGUG
rnacentral:rRNA from 1 species